UUCCCUGUGGCUCAGUUGGUAGAGCAUGGUGUUUGCAACGCCAGGGUUGCGGGUUCGAUUCCCACAGGGAAC
rnacentral:tRNA from 1 species